rnacentral:lncRNA from 1 species
GAAUGAAGCAGUAAUUUAUUUACCUUGACCUAACUCUGCUCUGGAAAUCCACCGUAUCAUGUUUUGCUCCCUUGCAAUUGUGUGGCUACUGCACAUGAUCCAAUGCAGUCUUUCACUGUCUUUUUCUGCUAGGUCUUAGCUGUCGUUGGGCUUGUUUCUCAUGACUAAGAAGCUGCCUGUUUGAUAUUAUUUAUCUUUAGAAAGACAAGGGUUGGGGGGGGGGGGGGGGGGGGGGUGGAGCUGGCACUGAGGUCUUCUAAAUAUAACUGCACACUGAAUUUACUGAUUUUAUUUUUUCUUUAUAUGGAAUUACUUUUCAGCUACUGUAUCCUUUCUGAUUCAGAAUGUGCGUGUUAUUUUUGAAUCUUCUCAUUUGAGAACAGUAUUUCAGGCAUUCGAACAUUUUCUUUCUACCAUUUGUGGAAGAGCUCAAGACUUUGAUCCUGUCACCACCCUAGAUGAUUUGAUGCUUGCCCACACCUUUAUUUACUGCAGACUGGAUGACUGCCAUUCCUGCCAAGCUUCCUGACCGGGCACCACUACCAAAAGGUGGUGUUGGAGCCGGUGUGUUGGCAGCAGAACCUCAUCAUCUCGCCAGGCGCUCGAGUCGCGUUGUUCCAUUAUUGAUUCUUUGCACUGCGUGGCGGCAUGGCUCCCUCUUGGCUUCUUUCCUUGCAAGUUUUUCAGCUGCUUCUUGCCGUGCUGCUGGCUGAGCGAGCAUGAACAGCCCCUGCAGAUGAGAGGCUGGCAGUGAUAGCGCUGGAAUGUGGCCUCGGCCGUUGAUCAGAGCGACGCCACCCGUCAGGCCACUUGGGCGCUCUUAUUUUUCUGACCACUUUUGGCCUGGAAUCCGGCAGGGGGCAUGUUCAGCCAUGCUGUGCGUGUACCCAUAAAUGGCAUAUUCUUUAGGUAAGUCUUUUAAAUCCUUCCAGGUAAUACCUCUUGAGUUACAGGUUUCAUUUCAAAGGCCCUGCACCGUAUAUAGAUGUUUAAAGUGUUCUUCUGUCCAUUCCUACUUGCUUUAAAAAUCUGCUUGAAAGAAACCAUCGGGAUUAGAGAAAGACUGCAUAUUCUGCCAGGGGAAAAAAAAAAGAAUUAAAUAUCAAAGGAGGAUAAUUUUGUUGCUACGGAUCACAAGUAUUCUUCCGCUUAAUGGACCGGGAUCUCAUAAACUAUGAAUGAUUGAUUAUUCCUUUCUGCUUCAGAUUUGGGAAGUACCAGAGAAGAAGCUGAUAUCUAAAAGAGAUUUUUAAAUAUAGGAUGUUACUAGGGCAAAAUCUCUGCUGCUUCCUUCUCUCUAUCUGCACUUGAAAAUAACGGAAGCAGGUGGCUGGCGGACAGAAUAUGAGGGUGAAGCUGGGACUAGGUGUUAAAAGCUCUCCAUUACAUUCCCAAGCUGGCCCUUGGCUUGCACUGUGACUGUGAACAAGCUAUUUUCCUUGCAAGCCUUAGCAUUCCCAGCUG